rnacentral:rRNA from 1 species
UACGUAGGGUGCAAGCGUUAAUCGGAAUUACUGGGCGUAAAGCGUGCGCAGGCGGUGAUGUAAGACAGAUGUGAAAUCCCCGGGCUCAACCUGGGAACUGCAUUGGUGACUGGCAGGCUUUGAGUGUGGCAGAGGGAGGUAGAAUUCCACGUGUAGCAGUGAAAUGCGUAGAGAUGUGGAGGAACACCAGUGGCGAAGGCGGCUACCUGGACCGGAACUGACGCUGAUGCGCGAAAGCGUGGGGAGCAAACAGG